rnacentral:rRNA from 1 species
GACGAACGCUGGCGGCGUGCUUAACACAUGCAAGUCGAACGGAAAGGCCCUGCUUUUGUGGGGUGCUCGAGUGGCGAACGGGUGAGUAACACGUGAGUAACCUGCCCUUGACUUUGGGAUAACUUCAGGAAACUGGGGCUAAUACCGGAUAGGAGCUCCUGCUGCAUGGUGGGGGUUGGAAAGUUUCGGCGGUUGGGGAUGGACUCGCGGCUUAUCAGCUUGUUGGUGGGGUAGUGGUUUACCAAGGCUUUGACGGGUAGCCGGCCUGAGAGGGUGACCGGCCACAUUGGGACUGAGAUACGGCCCAGACUCCUACGGGAGGCAGCAGUGGGGAAUAUUGUACAAUGGGCGGAAGCCUGAUGCAGCAACGCCGCGUGCGGGAUGACGGCCUUCGGGUUGUAAACCGCUUUCGCCUGUGACGAAGCGUGAGUGACGGUAAUGGGUAAAGAAGCACCGGCUAACUACGUG